UAUCUCUGAGAGUCUGCAUAUCAAUAAGCGGAGGAAAAGAAACUAACGAGGAUUCCCUUAGUAACGGCGAGUGAAGCGGGAAGAGCUCAAAUUUGAAAUCUUCAAGGUUUUACCUUGACGAAUUGUAGUUUAAAGAAGUGUUUUCUGUUGAAGUUUCGGUAAAAGUUCUUUGGAAUAGGACAUCAUAGAGGGUGAGAAUCCCGUAUUUGACCGUUAUUUUCAGCUGUGUGAUACACUUUCAAAGAGUCGGAUUGUUUGGGAAUGCAGUCCAAAAUGGGUGGUAAAUUUCAUCUAAAGCUAAAUAUUGGCGAGAGACCGAUAGCGAACAAGUACCGUGAGGGAAAGAUGAAAAGAACUUUGAAAAGAGAGUUAAACAGUACGUGAAAUUGUCAAAAGGGAAGCGUUUGACACCAGUGUUGUUUUCUCGAAAAUCAAUUAAAAAUGGCUUGAUUUUGUGUUGUAUUGACCUUAAAAGCUUUCUUCACUUUUUUCAUGUCUUUUUUAAUGCACUUUUCGUUUAACAAGUCAACAUCAGUUUCUUUUGUUGUAAAAGGUCAUUGGAAGGUGGCUUUCUUUUCGGAGAAAGUGUUUAUAGCCUUUGACUUCUGCAAUCGGAGAGAUUGAGGUCUGCAGCGUAGAUCCUUCGGGGUUAGAUACAUUUGUGCUAAGUUAUAGCCUUUUCAUAGACAACAUUGUUGACUAUGAUCAUCAUGUAGCUUACUCGCUUAUGCUAUUUUACCUACGCUUAGGAUGUUGAACGCGCACAGAGUCUC
rnacentral:rRNA from 1 species